rnacentral:misc_RNA from 1 species
UGGAAUUUGGAAACUGCUAAAAGCAGUCGACGCGAAACAUCGCGAAUGGCGCGAAUCGUGGCUCGGACAACUUAGGAAAACUCAGGUAAUUGACUCCGAUUUUAGAGAGCAAAUCAGGAACGAUCGAGUCUACAUCUGCGAGAAGCAUUUUUCACCCAAAGUUUUCGAGAUAUAUUAAUCAGCUUGGAUCUCAACUUGACUUAAAAAAGAAAGAUGCCUUCAAAACCAACAUCAAACAGCACAAAAUGCA